UACGUAGGGUGCGAGCGUUAAUCGGAAUUACUGGGCGUAAAGCGUGCGCAGGCGGUCUGUUAAGUCCGAUGUGAAAUCCCCGGGCUUAACCUGGGAACUGCAUUGGUGACUGGCAGGCUUUGAGUGUGGCAGAGGGAGGUAGAAUUCCACGUGUAGCAGUGAAAUGCGUAGAUAUCUGGAGGAACACCGGUGGCGAAGGCGGCAUCCUGGACCAAUACUGACACUGAGGAGCGAAAGCCAGGGGAGCAAACGGG
rnacentral:rRNA from 1 species